rnacentral:rRNA from 1 species
CUGUGCAAAGGUAGCAUAAUCAUUAGUCUUUUAAUUGGAGGCUUGUAUGAAGGGUCUGACAAAGGAAAAGCUGUCUUUAUUUUUAUUUUUGAAAUUAACUUUUAAGUGAAAAGGCUUAAAUAAAUUUAAGGGACGAUAAGACCCUAUAAAUCUUUAUAUUAUGAUAGUUAACUUAAAAAUUAUUAAAUUUGUUUAAGGUUUAAGUUGAACAUAUAAUAUUUUGUUGGGGUGACAAGAAUAUAAGAUUAACUGUUCUUAAAUAAAACAGAGUUAUUUGUUAAAAUUAUAGAUCCUUUUUAAAGAUUAAAAGUUUAAGUUACUUUAGGGAUAACAGCGUUAUUUUUCUUGAGAGUUCCUAUCGAAAGAAAAGUUUGCGACCUCGAUGUUGAAUUAAAAUUUCUCUAUGGUGAAGAAGUUAUAGAAGUAAGUCUGUUCGACUUUU